rnacentral:rRNA from 1 species
AUUGAACGCUGGCGGCAGGCUUAACACAUGCAAGUCGAGCGGGGGAAAGUACUUCGGUACUGACCUUAGCGGCGGACGGGUGAGUAAUACUUAGGAAUCUGCCUAUUAGUGGGGGACAACAUCUCGAAAGGGAUGCUAAUACCGCAUACGUCCUACGAGAGAAAGCAGGGGAUCUUUAUGACCUUGCGCUAAUAGAUGAGCCUAAGUCGGGUUAGCUAGUUGGUGGGGGAAAGGCCUACCAAGGCGACGAUCUGGAGCGGGUCUGAGAGGAUGAUCCGCCACACUGGGACUGAGACACGGCCCAGACUCCUACGGGAGGCAGCAGUGGGGAAUAUUGGACAAUGGGGGGAACCCUGAUCCAGCCAUGCCGCGUGUGUGAAGAAGGCCUUAUGGUUGUAAAGCACUUUAAGCGAGGAGGAGGCUCUUUUGGUUAAUACCCAAGAUGAGUGGACGUUACUCGCAGAAUAAGCACCGGCUAACUCUGUGCCAGCCGCCGCAGUAAGAC